UCCAGACUCCUACGGGAGGCAGCAGUGGGGGAUAUUGCACAAUGGGGGGAACCCUGAUGCAGCGACGCCGCGUGGGUGAAGGAGCGUUUCGGCGCGUAAAGCCCUAUCGGCAGGGAAGAGGGAGGACGGUACCUGACUAAGAAGCCCCGGCUAACUACGUGCCAGCAGCCGCGGUAAUACGUAGGUGGCAAGCGUUAUCCGGAUUUACUGGGUGUAAAGGGCGUGUAGGCGGGAAAGCAAGUCAGAUGUGAAAACCAUGGGCUCAACCUGUGGCCUGCAUUUGAAGCUGUUUUUCUUGAGUACUGGAGAGGCAGACGGAAUUCCUAGUGUAGCGGUGAAAUGCGUAGAUAUUAGGAGGAACACCAGUGGCGAAGGCGGCCUACUGGACGGUGACUGACGCUGAGGCUCGAAAGCGUGGGGAGCAAACAGGAUUAGAUACCCCAGUA
rnacentral:rRNA from 1 species